CUUUGAUCUGAUUACGUAAACUAUGCUGGAUUUAAAAAUGCAUGGCAGAGAUGCAACCGUGCACUGUAUGAUACUGCAGCACAAUUCUCUACUUCACCUUGUGGAUAAGAAACGACUAGUAUGUUGAUCUGCCUCUAUGGGAUGGGAUGGCAGCAUCCCAUUGCAAGACUCCAUAAUGCAUUUCCCCUCCUGCCGCCAUCUAAAGCCUCUUUUAGGUGGUUUUGUUGAAGGUGGAGGCACCCAGAUCCCAAAGCACACCAACAUCUGGCCAUCCCCACACUAUGGCCACAGCAUCGUCUUCUUGCUGCAUAGGAACUCACACGGUGAGAAACCACCCCACACUUGGAAAUCACCCGAGUUUCCAUUCCUUAUUCUCAAAACAUUUUUUGAAUAACCCUUGCAGCAUCACUUCCCACAAAAGGGAUUGUGCCCAAACCCUGCACCUUUUUUUUCUGAGCCUGGGCACUGCAGUGCCCCAUUUCUGCACCACGGGAUGGAGAGGGAGACCAUUCCAGAGCCCACUUCUGUCUAUGGCAUUUCUUGAUCCAGAAAAUCUAUGUGGUGUUCAGUCCCCCGAUCCCCUGCGUCCGCACAACCCUGGUGUCAUGUCCCACCUGUGACAUGUAGGUCCAAGGGAGUGCUGAGGGGAGAUCUCCUUAGCCAAUUGCUCUCGUUCCUCUGCUGGUACACACACGUGUAUGUCCCACUGCUUCUUGCAGAGAUGUUCAUCAGCAUGGAGUAGAUGACCGUAUGCUGAUGGGCUUUCAUGCUGUAAACCUCCAUCCCAUCCUUGCAGAAGACAAUCCGGGCAGCAGGAACCAGCAUCUGAAGGACACAUCGAGCCAGGACGACUUCCCCUUCCUGAGCUCUGGAAGUGUAAAGGUACAGGAGUGGAGCCUGGAGAGUACCUGGAGAGAUGGCACAGGGAUUCUACUGGCAUCAUUUCUGGGAAACCAGACUGCACCCAAUGCAUGAAAUAUCUUCUCUCCUGGGGUGGAUAAUGGGAAUAAAGGGGGAGACGAUGCCUUUCUUUCUUUCCAUCUCCUCCCCCUCCAUGUCAUCAUUUUCUGAACUCAUUCCCACACUCGCCAUCAGCAGUGGAACUGCAGAUGCCCUGGGUGCUCACAGCAGUACCUGCACCACGGGACAGAGAGAGUUUUGUUUAGAGGGACAAUGUCCUGCUCACCCAGAUGUUCCCACCCAUGUCCCCACGGAGGACUAGGCACCAUCCCGUCUGCCUAUCCCCAUACAGUGUCUCUGAGAAAGCUCAG
ensembl:lncRNA